AUAUAAUAAUUCUUCGCAGUGUCCGAUUUCCCUUUAAUGAGUGUCACACACAAGAAACUGCCUCAUAAUGAGUCAACAUGAAGUACAGAAACUUCCUGGUAAUUUACCAUGCUGAAAAGCAGACAUGCCGUGAAAUGUUAUAAGCUUUUAAACAAUCCCAAGACAAAGACGUACCUAUUGAAGUGCAGCACAUUUUUCUUCAGAAGUGGAGACAUUAGAGUUAAUAAAAAGAUGCUUCUCUACCUUACAUGAGGAAAUCUGCAGAUGCUGGAAAUUCAAGCAACACACACAAAAUGCUGAUGGAACGCAGCAGGCCAGGCAGCAUCUAUAGGAAGAAGUACAGUCGACGUUUCGGGCCGAGACCCUUCAUCAGGACUAACUGAAAGAAGAGAUAGUAAGAGAUUUAGAAGUGGGAGGGGGAGGGGAGAUCUGAAAUGAUAGGAGAAGACAGUAGGGGGAGGGAUGAAUCUAAGAGCUGGAAAGUUGAUUGGCAAAAGGGAUACAGAGCUGGAGAAGGGAGAGGAUCAUGGGACGGGAGGCCUAGGGAGAAAGAAAGGGGGAGGGGAGCACCAGAGGGAGAUGGAGAGCAGGCAAGGAGUGACUGAGAGGGACAGAGAGAGAAAAAAGAGAGAAAAAGAAAAAAAAGAAUAAACAAACAAACAAAUAAAUAAAUAGAUAAGGGAUGGGGUAGAAGGGGAGGAGGGGCAUUAACGGAAGUGAGAGAAAUCAAUGUUCAUGCCAUCAGGUUGGAAGCUACCCAGAUGGAAUAUCAGGCUGGUGGGGUGGUAGGCGAGGACAAGGGGAACCCUAUCCCUGGUGGGGUGGCAGGAGGAUGGGGUGAGAGCAGACCUGUGUGAAAUGGAAGAGAUGUGUUUGAGAGCAGAGUUGAUGGUGGAGGACAGGAAGCCCCUUUCUUCAAAAAAGGAAGACAUCUCCUUCGUCUUGGAAUGAAAAAUCUCAUCCUGAGAGUAGAUGUGGCGGAGAUGGAGGAAUUGUGAGAAGAGGAUGGCAUUUUUGCAAGAGACAGGGUGGGAAAAGGAAUAGUCCAGUUCAAAUGUUAUGCUGCAGUUCAACUAAUUCAAAGGAAGACAUGGGAGUCCAAACUUGAUGUCCUGAUUAAGGGUCUCAGCCCAAAACGUCAACUCUAUUCUUUUCCAUAGUCAGUGCCUGGCCUGCCAAGUUCCUUCAGCAUUUUGUGUGUGUUGCUUGGACUUCCAGCAUCUGUAGAUUUUCUCUUGUUUGUAACAGAUGUUGCCUGAUCAGCUGAAUACCUCCAACACUUUGUUUGCUGAAAGAGGUUUAAUUAACUCACAGAAAUCUCCAUCCCUCCAAAAGUACUACAAGCUUUCCACAUUGCUCAAUGCAAUAUGCAUCCAUCACCUAAGAAUCCUUCAUCUGAAACAAUGAACAUCCAUUGAACCAAACUUCAGACCCAAAGCUAUCUGCUAUAAUUCCAUCAUUGCAAUUGUUCAACAAAUGAGAUAACAAAUGAGAUGACACGUCUUUUCCUAUAGCAAGACAAAAUGGUGUACGAUCACAAAUUCAGCAGUCUGCAAGUGUUAAAUGUCACUACUGUGCAGGAGAGCAACUGCUACAUUUCUUAAAUUGCAGAAGCUAAAGAAAAUAACAUGCUUUUAUCUAAUUCUCCUCUUCUUGGUCAACUUCCUCCUUAACCACCAUCUCUUUUCACCAAUAUUUUUAGGUAGUGUUCCUGCAAGUGUGAUCAGCUCAACCUUGUGGGAGCUGAGCAGGUGAUUGUUAGCAAGUGCCUUUAUUUCUCAUUACAAGGGACAUUUCAAUGCACUGAAGCUACCAUUUGAGAUCACCGACAAUUAUUUCAGAAACUGUAAACACUGAACAUCGGAUUCCAUAUAUACUGCCUUACUGGCAUUCAUAAUAAAACUAUGACUGAGGAUAGAUUUUGAUACAAGGCGGGCAUCUUUUACACUUUCUGAUGCUUCGGUUCUGGCAAUUAUAACUUUUGAAUUGACCCAUUUCACGACUAUUAACUCUGUAAAUCAGAUUGCUUCCCACCAUUUCCAAUUUAAAUUUCUUGGCCUACUGCCAGAAAGUUUGCUCUAUGUCGGCAUUGCUGAGCACAGCAAAAACUGUAAGCCUGCUCAGUAUAAGUUGGGGGAAGGCAGGUGAAAAUGCAUUAAUUUUCAUUGAGGAGUCUGCAGUGGAAGGAUGAGCAGGUUCAAUUUCCUGGGUAUCAACAUGUUAGAGGAGCAAUCCUGAGCUCAGAGCAUAGAUACAACCAUCUCUACUUUCUUAAACUUUAAGGAGAUUCAGCAUUUCAUCAACCAUAUUGACAAACUUCCUCAGAUGUACAUUGGAAAGCAUUUUAGCUGGUUGUAUCAUAGAUUGGUAUGAAAACUCCAAUAUAAUAGGAAUGCAAGAGGCUACAGAGAGCGAUUGACUCAGCAAGUUCCAAAUGGGUACAGCUUUCCUUAUCAUCAAAGGCACCUACAAGAGGUGCCAGGAUGCAACCUUCCUGAUGUCUCAGGAAGGUAGCAUCCAUCAUAAGGAAUACCUACAAUCCUGGCCAGACCUUCUUCCCGAUGCUGCCAUCAGGUGGUUUGUAUAGGACCCUGAAGCCCUGUACCUUAAGGUUUAACAACAACUUCUUAUCCACUGCCACCAGGUUCUUUAAUUGACUUGGAAAACAUUAGCACUACCUCAGAUUAUUUUCUCUCUCUCUCAAUUUUGCACUAAUGUCUUAAUUUUUACUUUGUGGCUUAUUUUGGAUAAGUGAAAGUUAUGUAAAAUUUAUGCUAAUUGGUUUGUAUUCAUGUUUUUCCUCCUCUUGUAUUGUGCAGCUGCUGCAAAAACGCUAAUUGUUCCACGGCAUUUGUACCUGACAUAUUACAACAAUA